AAUGGGGGAUAACGUAGCGAAAGUUACGCUAAUACCGCAUAUGCCCUGAGGGGGAAAGUGGGGGAUCGCAAGACCUCACGUUUUCGGAGCGGCCGAUAUCGGAUUAGCUAGUAGGUUGGGUAAAGGCUGACCUAGGCGACGAUCCGUAGCUGGUCUGAGAGGACGGCCAGCCACACUGGGACUGAGACACGGCCCAGACUCCUACGGGAGGCAGCAGUGGGGAAUUUUGGACAAUGGGGGCAACCCUGAUCCAGCCAUGCCGCGUGAGUGAAGAAGGCCUUCGGGUUGUAAAGCUCUUUCGGACAGAAAGAAAUCGCCAUUCCUAAUACGAGUGGUGGAUGACGGUACUGUAAGAAGAAGCACCGGCUAACUACGUGCCAGCAGCCGCGGUAAUACGUAGGGUGCGAGCGUUAAUCGGAAUUACUGGGCGUAAAGCGUGCGCAGGCGGUUUUGUAAGACAGGCGUGAAAUCCCCGGGCUUAACCUGGGAACUGCGUUUGUGACUGCAAAGCCAGAGUGUAGCAGAGGGGGGUAGAAUUCCA
rnacentral:rRNA from 1 species